UGAAAAACAAACCAGUAUGACAGCCUUCCUCAACCUGGUGCUUACCGAAUACUCUGGACUCCAAAUACAAUCAGCCCCAGCCAGCAUGGCCAGUGGCCAGGAAUGAUGGGAACUGUAGUUCAAACCAUCUAGAGGGCACCAGGUGGGUGACUGCUCAUAUACAUCAUGGUUUCCAGAGUCAUCCUAAUACAGUGGUACCUCGGGUUACAGACGCUUCAGGUUACAGACUCCGCUAACCCAGAAAUAGUACCUCGUGUUGAGAACUUUGCUUCAGGAUGAGAACAGAAAUCGUGCGGCGGUGGCGCGGUGGCAGCAGGAGGCCCCAUUAGCUAAAGUGGUACUUCAGGUUAAGAACGGACCACCAGAAUGAAUUAAGUUAUUAACCCAAGGUACCACUGUAGGGAUAAAGAUUGGGGUACAGUUUAAAGCUCUUCCAUCCCUGUGUCUCCUGUAUCUGUUGUGUCUUCCAGAUCUCUCCCCAGAGAUGCCAUUAUCAUUACUUGCCCUGCCCCAAAGACUGGAUGGGAGAAAAUGGAAUGAGAAAAGGGCUCCAAGUAACCAUAGCAUUUCAUGAUCUCAGCAGCAGUCAUGGUGUAGCUCAGGAGCCCUGCUGACUGGAUUGACAUCAGUGUCCCAAUAUGGGUCAAUCCUUCUGCUUAUCCACCACUAUCACAAUACCUUCAUAGGCUGAAGAAGGAAAUUUAUAUACAUAAAGAAAAUAGGCUAAUGGGUUUUAUAUGAUCCUCUGCAAUCCCCACAUUAAGCAGCAUCAGACAAAGAAGCAUAUUACAUGAACAGAUUGACUUCCGCUGUUCAGGUGAAUUGUAAGGUAUCUGAGCAUGUUAAGCUUUUGCUCUGAUUCAUGCUAAUUGGGGGAAAUGCAUGCAACAAUACAGAAGGCAAUAUCCGAGUCUGAGGGCUGAAGCUCUCACUCUGAGAGGGAACCAUCUGGCACUCCAUCAUGAAAUCUCUAAUGAAAACAUCAUAGAUCAGUCUGUCCGUCACCUAGGCAUCUGACAGAAAUUGAAAUGCAGAUUUACCCAUCAUCUUUCAUCUGGUAAUCAUAG